rnacentral:lncRNA from 1 species
AUCGAUUCUUAGAAUGGCAUGUAAGAAAAACACAGUAAUAAUGUGUUAAUAAACUUCUCAUUGAGGUGAACAUAUUUACAAGCAAAUAUGAUAACAACAAAAGAUAAAAUCUUUUGAAGGUGAGAAACUAAACUGCUACAAAACUGGGUCAAAUAUCUAUGUCAUGUCCUAUGAUAUCUUCAAAGAGCUAAUUCAAUUCAAGUGAGAAGUAAUAUCUAAGAAAAUGUCUUCUUUGCAAGGAAUAGUUAGACCACCCAUUGGAUGGUCAUAUUCAAAUUGUUCCUCGGCUUCGCUCAACAAUUCUUGGAAUGAAGUUUGGUUCAAAUAUGAUACAGGAAUCACAAACCGCUUCAUUUUCUCUCCUACGUACACUGCUAGAUAGCCCUUUGGAACGUCCACAGCUUUUGAAGAUGAUGCCCUUGAUCUGAUGAUACUACGUAAACGAAAACCCAUUGUUGUAUGUAUGAGUUAAAAGGAGAAGAUUGGUCUAAAAAGAAAGAGUUGUGUAUAGAAGACUCAAGUUUCUGAACUUCAACUGACUUGGGAUGUGAAUGAUUUUUUGUUGGUGCUAAAUGCUUGAUGCCAUGUUUAUAUAUAGAUGAAAGGAUAUGUUACAAACAGUCGACAACUACAAUGGUCAAUGAAGGAGGACCAUGAGAAUUUAAUCAUGGCCAGACAAGAGCAUAUGAAAGAUCACAUGGUGUUGUCUCUAAAUGAAUGGAUAUACUUCAAAUGGUGUAGUAGAUAGAUAAUGCAUAAUUCUUGUGCAAAAGCAUCAUAUAAUUGAUAGACUUGAAAGUACAAACCACAGACAUGUAGAAUGGUUUAUGUUGAUCAAUUGUUAUCCAUAGCCAUGUAGACACUUACCAGCUGGACAUCAGCAUUAUCAUAAUGAAGAAAACAUGUCUGAAGCAUGUUUACGAAAUUAUGAAGGAAACCAAUUAAAUCAUGAAGAAAUAUGACGUUGCACUUGAGCACAUCUCAUUUGGUAGCAAUUGGAAGCUUUGUAUUGGAUAUUGUUUAAGAAGGUAGGGUACACUCUAAGACAACACCACAUGCUACCUUAUCCCUAUGAUCUAUAUCCUUCAACCCCUUCAAUAAUAGUUUUUCUUGAAAUUUGGGUUUGAGAGAACUUUAAAAUCUAUAUAUAAACUUCCUCUCUCCUUCACAAACAGAAAAACUCAUUGCAUUAUCAAAUAUUUAGUUACAUCCUUCAUACAUUUGAGAUUUUUUCUCUGUUCUUCUCUCAAACUAUAACAAAAAAUGGGUUUCCGUUUACACACUAUUCUAAAGGGUUCAGUAACGUCUAGUCAAGCAAAAUCAAAAUCUGUAGAAGUGAGAAAGGGCUACGUUGCAGUGUAUGUUGGAGAGAAACUGACGCGGUUCAUAGUUCCUGUAUCAUAUUUGAACCAACCUUCAUUUCAAGACUUGUUGAAUCAAGCUGAGGAAGAGUUUGGAUAUGAUCAUCCAAUGGGUGGCCUCACCAUUCCGUGCACCGAAGAUGUCUUCCAACAUAUAACUUCAUGCUUGAAUGGCCCUUGAACCUUACACUUUAACAUACUGAAAUAGCUAGAUUAGUUGAGACAUUUUUUUUGUAACAGGCGUCUUUUUGACUUGUAAAUAUAUUACCCUUUUCAUGGGAAAUGGAGAAACAUUACUAUCUGAACAACAAAUUCAGAAAAAUUAUCAAAAUUUUUAGUUAGUUCUUUAAGCCUAUUGAAAUGAGACAAUAUGUUACUUUUAUUUCUCAAAAUACUAGCAAAAUUAGUUUCAUUGUUAAAAUCCAGCUAAACAUCUUUAAGUAACAAAACCAUUUUUGCUAAUUCAGGUAGCUCUAUAAAAUUAUUGAACUAAAUCAAUAUCUAUUGAUUUUUUAACCAUUAGUCACCCAUUAAUUAUAUCUUAAGAGCUACUUUGGUUAAAUUUUUUCACAUAUAUACUAACAUAAGAGUUGAACUUGAUUAUUUAACUAAUAUCUUAUCUCCAAAGUAGAAAUCAGCUCCUACGCUUCAAUUUUUUCAGAAGUUUUCUCUCUUAGUUUAUUGGUAAAACCUUUAAAUUUAUAGAAGUUUUUCUUAACUUACAAGCUUAAUAAUCAUUUCAACUCGUAUUAGCUAGAAGAUCAUUCAAACAUGCCUGCUACAUCUUAUGAUUCUUUAGUCUUGCACUCUUCUAGUUUUCUGUCACACCUUGUACUCCCAAAACAGAAAAUCACAAACUUCUAUUGCUUCAGUUUAACGUUAAUCUGUAGGGAACAGGCCCUCUUAACCUUCUUAUAUUUGGUAUUGUUGCAAUUUCUUAUUAUGAAAGUGUCUCAUGUGUUUCUUUUAGUAUAAGGAAUCGGUAAUAGAUCUAUAAUAUUAGUUUUCAAACAAUUGUACAUUUGUGCCGUUACUGUUUGAAAGGAAUGACGCUCUCAAAAGAAAGUUGUAAAGUCAUAUCUAUAAUGUAUUUACCAGAAGCAACAUGAACAGGUUGUAUAUUAACCUGAGAAUUAAUUGUGGGGUGCUUAAUAAACCACAAGUUUUUUAAUCUGCAUUCUUAUCCAAUAAUUACAUUCUUCUAUGCUGGAUUAUUUUUUGCAAUAUAUACUUUGUUUAUGAUCGUUAAGCCAUACUAGUUACUUUUAACUUUCGAUAUUUUUGCAACAGAGGAAAUCUAUUUUAUAUUCGUCUAGAGAUUCUAAACUGAACAUCUAGCAGAUAUGCUUUGAUUUUCAGAUUUAUAUUUAAGGGAAAAUAUAGAGAAGUAAUGAUGUUAUAAAUUUCUCAUUGAGGUGAACUUUUUCAUAAACAAGUAUCAUAACAACAAAAGAUAAAUCUUCUAAAGGUGAGAAACUAAACUGCUACAAAAAUGGGUCAAAUAUCUACGUCAAUCUUAUGGUAUCUUCCGAGAGCCAAUUCAAUUCAAACGAGAAGUGAUCUCUAAGAAAACGUCUUCUCUGCAAGGAAUAGUGAGACCACCCGUUGGAUGAUCAUAUUCAAAUUGUUCCUCAGCUUGGCUCAACAAUUCUUGGAAUGAGGUUUGGUUCAAGUAUGAUACAGGAAUCACAAACCGCUUCAUUUUCUCUCCAACAUACACUGCUAGAUAUCCCUUUGGAACAUCGACACCUUUUGAAGAUGAUGCCCUUUUGAUGAUACUAGGUAAACGAAAACCCAUUGUUGUAUGUAUGUGUUGAAAAGGAGAGAUUGGUCUAAAAAAGAAAGACUUGUAUUUAGAAGACUCAAGUUUCUGAACUUCAGAUGCCUUGGGAUGUGAAUGAUUUUUUGUUGGUGCUAAAUGCUUUUGCAGCCAUGAAUAUAUAUAGAUGAAAGGAUAUGUAACAAACAGUCGGCAACUAUAGUGAUCAGUGAAGGAGGGCCAUAAGAUUUGAGUCAUGGUUAGACAAGAGCAUAUGAAUGAUCACAUGGUGUUGUCUUCAUGAAGGAUCAACAUCAAAUCUUGUAGUAGAGUUAAUGGACAUGGUGUAUGAUGAUCUAUAGUUAUCCAUUGCCUUGUAUUUUACCAGAUGGACAUCAGCAGCAUUAUCAUAAUGAAGAAAAACAUGUCUGAACAAUGUUUUCAAAAUUAUGAAGUACUAGUUAUAAUGCAUGAUCAAAUAUGCGGCAUGUCUAGCUGGGUUGAAAAUGGAUGAUUAUUGCACAUAAUUUGAGAAGGUGGGGGUACCAUCAUAAGACAACACCACAUGGUAUCUCAUCUAAUUUUCUCUUACCUUUAACUCUUUUAAACAAUAAUUUAGCUUGGAAUUAGGUUUCCAGAGAACCUCAGUAACUAUAAAUAUACUUACAAUUUCUUCCAAAAAUAACACAAGUCAUUGGCAUCGUCAAGUAUUUAGUAGCACUUCACAAAUUUGUGAUUUUUCUCUGCUCUUUUUCUCUUAUGCAAGCACAAAAAAUGGAUUUCCGUUUAAAUUUUAGUCGACGAGCAUCAUUAAGAUCUACUGCUAACCAAGCAUCUCCAAAAUCAUCAGAAGUACCAAAGGGCUAUCUUGCGGUGUAUGUUGGAGAUAAACAGAAACGGUUUGUGAUCCCAAUAUCACACUUAAACCAACCAUCGUUUCUAGAGUUGCUGAGUCAAGCUGAGGAAGAGUUUGGAUAUGAUCAUCCCAUGGGAUCCCAAUUCCUUGCAGUGAAGAUGUCUUCCAACAUAUAACUUCUUGCAGCCAGGAAGAAUGGUCUAUGAAUCUUAUACUCUAGGAUACUGACAUAGACUAGAUUAGUUGAGACAUUUUUUAUAAUAGGUAUCUUUUUGACUUAUAAACUUUUCAUGGGAAAUAGAGAAACAUUCUAUAAGGAUAACAAAUUCGAAAAAUUACUGUCCUCUUUUUUUUUCUUGUGUAAUGACACUGACCUCAGUUACAAUUGUCAAUUCUCCCUGAAAUUUUAACUAUUGAUGAUUUAGAAAUUGACUUCGCAGUGUUUAUAUAUUAAGAGCUAGUUUGGUUAAAUUUUUGACAUGUACUCAAAAAGGAAAAAGUUGAACAUGAUUAUUUAACUAAUAUCCUAUCUCCUAAGCAUUGUUGUCAAAAUCACAACUUGGAUCCCAAAAUUCAGGAUUUUGCAACUUUACUCACCUUCAUCAAACCAAAUCCAUUGCAAAAUCCUAGUAAUAUCGCAUCAAAAUCGCAUAAAAUCGUGAAAUCCCUACAAAAUCGUGUUUUUCAGGAUUUUGAAUGAUUCUGGGGAUCUUUUUUAUAAGGGUAGUUUUGACCCGGUUUGCAUAAAAUUGCAGGUUUCUCUGGCAUCUAGGCUUAGAGUAUUUUGUGGACUUGAAACUUUUACGACUAUAUGCAAUUUACAACAUAUAGUUAGCAUUAUUUUUUAUUUGGUAGAAUCCAUUGACUUGAUCGAUUUUAUGAUUUUCGAUUUUUUUGGCGGUGCUUGAGAUUCGAACCCCGGACCUUGCAUUGAUACUAUAAAAUUAAAUAAGUAAAAUUUUUCGAUUUCAAUCGCUAUUUUACGAUUUUUCGAUUUUGUUAUUCCCUUUCGAUAUGAAGUAAAAUCUCGAUUUUGACAACCUUGCUCCAAGGUAUAAAUCAGGUUGUAUCCUACACAAUUUUGAUUCAGAUCUCUCUCACUUAAAAACUUUCAAAACUUAGAAACAUUUUUCUCAACUUUCAUGCUAAAUAAUUAUUUCAAGUCCUAUUAGUUAGAAGUUAAAUCAAACUGGCCUGCAAAAUUUAACGGCUCUUUAGUCUUUCACUCUUCUAGUUUUCUGACACACUCACACCUUGCUCUCCCAAAACAGAAAUUCACAAACUUUUAUUGUUUCAGUUGAAUAGUCAUCAAUAGAGAACAGUAACUCUAUAACCUUCCAAUGUUUGGCAUUGUUACAAUCUACUUAACAUAGAAAUGCCUCGUAUAUUCCUUGUAAUAUAAGGAAUCUAAUAGAUAUACAGUAGUAGUUUUGAAAUAAUUGUACAUUUGUAUUGUUAAUGUUUGAAUGGAAUGACUCAUUCACAUUGUCUUACAUAAAAUGUACUACAAGUACUAACUUGUAACACUUGUAAUGAUAAUGUCUAAAUGAACUCAAAAACAACUAAGUUGUUGUAAAGUAGAACAUUUUACAAUUAAAUCGAUCACAUUAGCACACUCUAUUACCAUUUUUAUUUUUUUUAUUUUUUUGAAAACUCGGUAUCCGAUCCAAGAAUCGACUAAUCCGAGGGGACCAAUCUCACCGCCCACUUGCGGGGGCCCCGUAUAAAGCCAGAGCAAGCUCUGUAUGGACUUAGCCCACCGAAAUUGGCACCAGAGGGAAUCGAACCUGAGACCUCUGGAGGAGCAAACUCCAAGAUCCCAAGCCAACCACUAAGCCAACCCCAGAUGGGUUCACACUCUAUUACCAUUACUUUUAAGGAUUUAGAAUUUCCUAUCAUUAAUGUUACAUACUAUAACUCACUAGCUCUGCUCCCUAAGGGGUGUAUUGGAUUGAGAUUUCAAGAGAUUUUCUUUUUGAUGAUAAUAAAAUCGUGUUGUAUUCAAUCAUGACUUUUAUGAAAUAUAAGAAAAUCUUGUGGUAUUCAAUUAAGACAAUCAAGACUUUUUUUCAAGGACAACAAAAUCUGAUGGUAUUUAAUUAAGAUUUGUUAGGACUUAUAAAAUGUAUUGGUAUUAAAAAAUAUAAAGAUUUGGAGAGAUUCUUUAGUGUAAUAGAUUUUGAGAGAUUUUUUUAAGUUAAAAUACACUCACUCAACAAUCUCAUACAAAAACUUGAGACUUUUUCACUAGGAUUGUUCUGUCGUUAACACAAUUUCAACCUGACAUUGUGUUAACUUGUUCUUGAUUUUUUUUUAUUUGAUAUUUUUGCAAGAGUUGCACUUCAAAAAGGUCCUUGACAGGUUUGAAAUGUUAAAUUCAAAACUUGUAACAACGCUUAUAUCUCAGCAAUUGAAGUUAUAGGUGUAAACAAGUAUUCAAGAACUGAAGAUAGAACUUAUAUGGACAACAUCCCUUAAUCAAGUGUUUUUUUUUUUUUUUAAAGGUCCUUAAUCAAGUGUUGUAAGGUCAUUAUUGUGGUUCUUUAAAAAAAAGACUGACAUUAAUAUUAUUUUUUUGACAAAAGUGAUAUUGGUAUUUGAUUACAUAUUUUCUUUUUAUGCAUAUUCACUCAACGUGUUUUUUUUUUUUUAAUUUUAUUUUUUACGUGAUGUAUGUUUCUAAUUGUACAUUGUUUUAUAAGAACUUCUUUAGUCAUUGUUAAUUUUACAACUUUGAUGUAUAUAAAAUAAAAAUUUAUUUAAUAGAAACACUACAUUCUUCAAAAACGUGUACACCGGAGUUGCACAUUCAAAUACAACCGACUCUAAACGUUUCCAGUAAAAUUUCAUAAUUGUCCUUCUUAAAACUCAUGAUCUCUUUAAUUUUAUGUGCAUAAUGGUCAUUUCGCAAAAUUUAAUAUAUUUGUUUUUUAAAAAACUAAUUACAGACAAUUCUCAUCACGAGUGUAAACAAUUUCCACGGAUAAUUAUGUAACUAAUUUAUUUAUUAACAAAUUUCCACCGAUAACUAUGAAACUAAUUUAUUUUUAUUUUAAAAAAUUAAUUACGGAUAACAAUAUAUAAAAGUUGAAGUGCAUCAAAAUUUCAUAAUCCUCCUUAUUAAAACUCAUGAUCUACUUAUUUUUAUAAUCGAUCAACAAACAUUGAAGGGUGUUUUGCAUAUAAAAUAAAAAUUUAUUUAAUAGAAACACUACAUUUUUUUUUGGGAAGAAACACUAGAUCGUUGUUUAUAUAUUGAAAAUAAUCAUGAGUUUACCAUAUUUUAUCAUAUCUACUUUCUCAUAUAUGAAUAUGAAAUUUGUUUCUGCAAGAUAUAAACAUUUAAAAUCUGCAAUGGGAACAGUGCAAACAUUGAAUGGUGUUUUGCAUAUAAAAUAAAGUUAUUUAUUGAAAUCAAUACUUUAAUUUUGAUAUUUUGAAAAUUGUCAUUUCAAAAUUUUAUCGUAUGGACUUUUUCAAAUAUGCACAUAAAAAUUUGUUUUCGCAUAUAUAAGCAUUACAUUAAUAGAUCAUGAGUAUUUAGAUCAUGCACAACUGGCGGAAUUCAACUAUUUAAUAAUUUUUUGUAUAAGAGAAAAAUAUUUAAUAGAAACAUUACAUUAAUAGUUAUAAUUUUCAUUAAUAGAUCAUGAGUAUUUAGUCAGCGAAUAAAUUUAAAAUAAAAAAUUACUUUUGAAUAUCAGAUAAAUCACAUACAAGUAAUUUUCUCUUAUUCUCAUGAAUUAAACAUGAUUCUUGAAGUCAUGCAUUUCAAUCAAAAAUAUCACCAUCAACUACAUGUACGAACCUUCCUUUAACAAUAAAAAUAAAAUACAUGAACAAACCACUAAUUAAUAUGGGUGCGUUUGUUUUAACUUUAAAAAAAUAGACUUUGUGUUAAAAGAAUUUAGAGAUUUUUUUUAGAGAUUUAAAAAAAAAAAAAUCUGAAGUUAUUUUUGUUUGCCUACUAGCUAUAAAAAUCCAUUUUUUUUAAAAAAUAAAAAAUUUAACUUGUACAUAUAUAUUACCUCCUUGUUUUUGCAAAAAGAAUAGAUUUUGAGAAAAGCUAAUCCUAAUAGCAUUUCAUUUUAGGGUCAGAAAAGAUUUUUUUAUAUAAAAUGAUUUUUCUUAAAGUCUAAACAAACACUUAAAAAUGAAAAAAGUGAUUUUUGUAAGAAAAAAAAUCUGAAACAAAUAGAACCUAUAUCUCGCAUAUAAUAAAUUACAAAUACAUCUAUAAGUCUUCAUGUAUUAAACAUAACUUUUGAGUCAUAUUUCACAAACAAAAUCAUCGACUAGAUAAUUUUUUCAAGAAAAUCAACCAAAACAUAUAUUUAUGUUUUAAUCAUGUAAAAACAAGCUAAUUUUCUCUAAGAAAUAAACAUGAUUCUUGAAGUCAUGCAUUUUAAUCAAAAAUAUCACCAUCAACUACAUGUAUGAACCUUCCUCUAAAAAUAAAAAUAAACUACAUGUAGCUUUUUACGAGAAGCUAUUUCAAGUAGUUUUUUUUUUUUUUUUUUUUGCUUUCACACCGGCUUCCGACCCACCAAAGGUGGACGACUAUUCCGACUCAUGCGCAUUGGCCAAGCAUUGUUCCCAUGGGAAUCGAACCCGGUAUUCCCUGGGUACGUCCUUGGAAGGAGCUCCUUGCCACUGGAGUCCAAGCAACUUGGUUUAUUUCGGCUGUGUUUGGUAACACAAAUAGGCUAACUUAUAGCUUGUUGGACUAGUUUAUAAGCUUGUUUUGAUAGAAUACGAUGUGAUUGGUAAAAAAGUUUUUUUCAUUAGCUUAUAACGUUUUUUGAUAAGCUAAGGCUCCGUUUGGAUAAACAACUUAUAUAGAUGCUUAUAGCAUUAGAGCUUAUAACAUUAGAGCUUACUGUAACACCCCGUUUUCCCAACAUAAAAAUUCCAUUUAAUAAUCAAAGUUAUUCACGUAAACGGAAUGCUACACUUCUUUUCUUAAAAUCAUAAACUGAAUAAAUAAUUAUUUAUCCUUUAAAAUUCAAUAACAAAAUCUUUAAUACUUCGCAGCGGAAUUUAUUCAAUAAUCAAAACGGUCUUUGGCACGAAGGCCUCAUCAUUAAUAUCUCAUACAAAUCCGAUCAACAUCUUAUUCAUGAAAAUUCUUUAAGCAAUACGUCAGGAAUAGAAAGACAACAUUAAAAUUCUCAUCCCGUUACGUAUCAGAGCACCUAAAGAUACACAUGAGAGCUAAUCCACUCACAACAGCAAUUUAAACUCGAUCACCUGCAAGUUACUCAUACGAAGAGCAACAUUUAAAAGCAGAAGGGGUGAGAUUUCACAAAACAAUAAUAUCAAGCAUAUAAUUUAAUAAUUAUAUUUAACAACACAAAUAACUUCUUCUAUUAGUAAUAAUAAUUCUUCAUGUAUAAUUCUUAAUAGUCCAACCAACUUCUAUUAUCAUUUACUUCAUAUUCACCACAUUAUAACAUCAUCAUAUAACACGUAUUAACCAAAUCAUAACAACAUAGAUCAUCACAUUAUACUCAUAGUUCAUAUUCAACAUAACAACAUCUUAAUCCUAAUUCAUAUAAAACAUAACAACAUCAUUAAUUUGUAAUAACAUUUCUCCACCAAGCAUCUCAUGAAUAGAAGGCAACUUAUCAACUUAACAUAACCAUCAUCAAGUACAUUUAACAACUCCUAGAUAACAUCAUGUAAUCAUCAUCACUAAUAACUUAAACUACACAAUAUAAUCAUCACUUAAUAAUAAUAAUUAUAUACAUCAUAAUAUAAACAUCUUCUUAUAAUAAUAUAACAACAACAACAUAUUCAUCUUCUUAUAUUAUAUAACAACAACGUAUUCAUCAUCUUAUGAAAAUAUAACAACAACGUAUUCAUAACAUUCACUUAAUAAUAAUUAAUCAUAUAUAGUACAACAUAUUCAUCACUUAAUAGUAACAAUUAUAUACAACAUCAUAACAACUUAACAAUAUCAUAAUCAAUAUCUUACACAACAUAGCAACAUAACCAUAUCAUACUCAACAUCUUAAACAACUUAACAACAUAACAAUAUCAUGAUCAAUAUGUUAAACAACAUAGCAACAUAACAAUAUUAUAUUCAUUAUCUUAAACAACAUAGCAACGUAACAAUAUCAUAAUCAAUAUGUUAAACAACAUAGCAACAUAACAAUAUCAUGAUCAAUAUGUUAAACAACAUAGCAACAUAACAAUAUCAUAUUCAUUAUCUUAAACAACAUAGCAACAUUUUAGUCAACAUCAUAUAAUUCACAUCGUAUAAUCUUCGUAGGUACUUCUUUAACAACACAUGGGUAGAACGCAACUCGACAACUCAUGGAUGAUAAUUCAUCGACAACGACUUUGACUCGACGAAUGCGAAAAUGCAACUUAGACACUCAUAUGCAUGUGGUACCAAUCGUUAUCAUAAGUAUUAAUAUACUUUCAUCGUGCGGAGGACAAAGCUCCUAAACAUGCGGAGGACAAAGCUCCUAUUGUGCGGAGGACAAAGCUCCUAAACGUGGUGAGGACAAAGCUCAAUGAAUGCUAAUGCAUGGACUCUUAUCAACAAAUCACCGUAAUCAACGUAUCACUUAUACAUCCAAUAAUUUGGAGUUCAUCAUCAACUUAUUCAUACUAAUAAUCGUGCGGAGGACAAAGCUCCUAAUAUAAUUCAAUAAUAUUUCGAGUAAUGCAUUUAAUCAUUAUAUCACAUUACAAACAACUUAGCAGUUCACAAUAGCAACAGAAACAGCACAUGCAAUUCACAACAUAACAAUAUUAUUAUGAAGUAUCAACAACUUAAACAUCAUACAUCUUCCACAUAAGGCAUAUAAGUAUUUCACAUAACCAACAACAGCAACAUAGGCGACACGUAAACAUCUCAAGAUAUAACAAUAUCAAAUGAUAAUCAACAACAACUCAUGCAACUUAGUUUAAUAACAAUAACAGCAUAAUCGGAUCAUAUCAACAGCUUAAUAUCAAUUCAUUUUCAAUAACUUCUUAAUCAUUCAAUAAUGAUUCAAGUAAUGCAAUCAAUCAAUAAAUCACAUUAUAACAACUUAGCAUUUCAAUAUAGCUUCACAAUUAACAGUUAACAUCUCAGAUAGGUCUCAUUAGUACCUAAAGUUCGGUUCUAAACAAUCCAAGCAACUCAAGUCUCAAACUCCUCAAAAGCACUCAAUUCUGGAUGUGCUCGCGAGGCGAGAGCAUCUGCUCGCCAUGGCGAGUACAAGCCAACUUUCCAACUAAGGUUGUUCCAGGUUCAAUCUCAUUCUCAAUCGUUUCCUAAUCAUUAGUAGGUACCUAAAGGUACUCAAAGACAUCUAAGGUUCAACUCAAAAGUCGAAAUUACAAAAUCUAACAUGCUCUCUGCCUUAGCUCGCUAUGGCGAGUAAGGUUGCUCGCUAUGGCGAGCAAUACCAAAAGAACUCGCGAGGCGAAGGGAAAGGCUCGCUAUGGCGAGCGAUGAAUUUUGGCUCGGACAGAAUGCAGUUUUCACACAAUUUUCAUCAACUCUCAUGGUUUUAAGCCUAAACUCGAUUCCAGAAUUCAUCAUAAUCAUUACCUAAGGUCUAAGGACAGUUUCUACAUCUUUUUAACAAGUUUCCACCGUUUAAUCAUCAAUUCUAUCAAUUUGACCUAGUUUCCGAUUCCUCUUAAACUCUCUUGGCCUUUUCUCCCUUUUUUCAAAACUGGUCGUACGCACGUUAUGUUUUUCUAAACUAGGUCUCUCCUAUUUAUAUAAAUCUUUAACCUACUUAUUUUUCUCUUAAAUCCAAAUAUUAAUAUUCUAUUCUAAUAUAUACAUAUAUAUAUAUAUAUAUAUAUAAAAUAUUUCUAUAACAAUAAUAAAUAACAAAUAUAUCUCUAAAACAUAUAUAUAUAUAUAUAUAUAUAUAUAUAUAUAUAUAUAUAUAUUUCCAUUAGAAAUCAUUUAUAUUUCUAUAGCAAAUGACAUAUAUUUCUACAAUAAAUCAUGUAUAUAUUUCUAUAACAAAUUACAUAUAUUUCUACAACAAAUCAUGUAUAUUUCUAUAACGAAUCAUAUAUAUUUCUAAACCAAAUAACAUAUAUACAUUUUUAAAUCAAAUAACAUAUAUUAUAUUUCUAAAUCAAAUAGCGUAUAUAUAUAUAUAUAUAUAUAUAUAUUUCUAAAUCAAAUAACAUAUAUAUAUUUCUAAAUCAAAUAACAUAUAUAUUAUAUUAAUAAAUAUAUAACAUAUAUCAUAACAAAAUAUCACUCCUCAAAAUAAAUCAUAUAAAUCACACAAAUCAUAUAAGUAUAUUCUAAACUCAUUUAAAAUAAUCAAAUAAUUAGAGAGGGCGUUACACUUACAUCAUAAGUUCUUAUAUUUGAUAAGCUAUUUAUGUUUGGAUAUGUACACUAAAAAGUACUUACAUAAAUUGAAGUGUUUGGAUGUGACAUUACAUAAGCAAUUAUCGAAAUUUUAAAUAUUUUUAAUUUAACAAAAAAAAUCAAAGAAUCGAACCACAAUUAUCAAGAUUUUUUUUGAUAAAAUUAAUCAAGAUGUAAAAAACAAUAUUAUAAUAUAUUAAUUAUAAUUAUAUAUAUAUAUAUAUUAUAUUCUAAUCAAUCUUCGUCCUUAAAAAAAUAUCAAAGUUACCUAAUUGUAUGCUACGUAUACACUCUGCAUAAAUAAACUUGAGAAAUUAUGAUUGUAAACUUACCAUAUAUAUAGAUAUUAGUGUACAGUUUGUUAUCAAAAAAAGACAAGUUAAGUUUUUUUUUUAUUCAGUUUCAUUUUGUUACGUAACAAAAAAAAAAAAAUCUUCCUUAAAAAAAAAAAAAAAUCUUAGUUACAUGUGUUACUUUAGUAAGAUAAGUAUAUAGCAAUUUUGUUACUCAUGCACGCCAAAGAUAACUAACAUUAUAAUUAAAAUAUAUUUUUUUUUCUAAAAACAAAAAAAUAAAAUAAAAUAUAUGUUUUGAAAAAGUGGAUCCAGAGAGAAUCGAAGGAGGUUACAUAAAUUCAUAAGCUCCUUGUUAAGCUGGAGGGUAAGCUGAAAAUUUAGGCUUAUUAAAAUAUGGCAUAAGCAGUUUAUGAAACUAUGAUAAACUAUUUUUAUUUAUUUACCCAAACACCUUUAAGAAGGCUUAUGGGAGUAAGCCCGUAUAAGCUCAAAAUAAGCCAAUCCAAACGGGGCCUAAUUCAAGUAGCUUUUGAACUUAUAGUUUUUAACUUUUUACAUUUUCUUUCAUUUUUUUAACCUUUAAUAUUAUUUUUUAUUUUUUUAUAAACAGAAAACUAGCCACGUUAAAAAGUAAACUACCCACGUAUUAUUCUGCACUACCUUAGUGCUCUUUUUAUUUAUAAACGGUUUCUCUUAUAUUUUUAUUACAUAUUUAGCAUUUUUUUUCAUAAAAAAAAAUAAAAAUAGAAAGAUAUGAUAAUGAAGUUGAGAAAAUUUAAUUAAAAAAUAUCUCAAUUAAGUUCAUAUAUUAUUCAAGUAGGUUUUGAACUUAAAGCUUAUAGCUUUUUAUAUUCUCUUUCAAUUUUAACCUCAUUAAUUUUAUUUUAUUUAAUUUUUAAUAAAAAAAAACUACACACAUUUUCAUGUAACUACCCACUUUAAUUAUAAAAAAAUAUAUAUAACCACCCACGUUACCACUGCUCAUGUUGUAGUUUUUUUUAUAUUUUCUUUGUUCCUUUUCUUAUUACCUUGCUUCAUAAUUCAUAUAAUAUAAUUAUAAUUUUAAAUAAAAUAUACAAUAAAUAGUGAAUCAAAUGUUUAGUAAAAAAAUGUCAAUUGAAUUUAUAAAACACAUUUAUCAUUUUAGAGAUGAAAGUAAUAAUUUGAAUAUUUAAAAAGAAAUAAAUUAAGUAUCAGCCACUUCAACAGUUAAUUUUACCAAACAGAUUAUUUUUAAUAUGCGAGUUUUUCAGCUAUAAGAUAUCAUCUACAUCCUCUGGUCAUUAUUAUAAGCAAAAAUUUACAUUUUAGAUUCAUUCAUUAAAUGAUGUAAGUGAUCUUUAUUAUAACCAACAUACAUCAUUUAAUGAAUGAAUUUAAAACAUAGUUUUUUUACUUAUAAUAAUGAUCAGAUGGUAUAUUAGUUUUUCUGCUAUUGCUAACUUAUAGCCUAUUUUUACCAAAAGGAACCUAAGAUCCCACACAAUAGACUGUGUGUGUGCACAAUCAGCGAGUCAGUCGUACGAACUCGAAACAAAUUGCAAAUGAAAAAUGUACGUGGACAUUAAACACCAAUCCAGAAUUUUAGAAAGGCGAGGGAUCUAACCAUGUAUACCUAUUGAACCCCGCCCUUAUAAGUCAGUAUUUUAGCUAUUUUUGUAUUAACAGUGCCAUUAGUUAUAUAUAUAUAUAUAUAUAUUGAUAAGGCAGUUGGUAUGUGUGGUAAACUAUCGGUUAUUUUCUGUAGUCUCGGUGGCAGGUCGUAUAGAAAAAAGGAGAGGGAUGAAUAAAAUGUUGUUUAAUUCAUGUAUAGGUAAUUACACUAGGUAUCAAAAAAAGAUCGUUAAGAAGAAACAGUUACGCAUAAAAAAAUUAUUAGAAAAUUAAAUUCAAAUUAAUUUAAUUUUUGGUUAAAUUAAGAUGACUCAUAUUUCAAAAGUACAAAUUAUAAAAUAAAAAGUCCUCAUGAGCUUAACUCAAUUGGUAUGGACAAUGCAUAAUAUAUGCAAGGUCGGAAUUCAAACCCCGGCCACCACAAAAAAAUUAUAAAAUAAAAAAGAAAAUAGGUAAAAGUUAGUCAUACAAGAUCAAAUUCAUGUUACUCUUGCUCUCUUCAAUUUCUUUUUAUUCAUUUUUUAAAUGCACGAAUUAAAGUAUAUAUUAGUGGGACCUAUUUAUAGACUCUUUAGUUUACUACCAAUGAAUGCAUUAAGUCCUUAACAGAGACUUUCAUUAUAAAUCUACUAAUAAUAAACAUAGACCUUCGAUUCGUCUUACCAAUCGGAUGUAAAAGGGUACAACGGCGAAUGGUUUAAAAUCUUGAUGUGACUUGCACAUUUAUACUAAACAUAUCGAUCAAUGACCGUUUACAGAAUUAAGUUAUGUCAAUUUCUCUUAUGCAUUAGAGAAAUUAAAGAAUGAUUUAGUAUUAUUUUCGGCAGAAUUUUCACCCACAAGAAUGUGAUGUUGUUGUUCUUUUUCUAAAUGAUUUUCUGCCUCCAAAGUAUCUCUUUUGAUAGAGAAGCUUAUGUUCUUUUGGUGAAGAGAAACAACUAAAAGUUUCUUUAUAAAUAGGCACAAUGGUAUUACAUCAUUUCAUUGAACCAGAGAAGCUUAUAUAAUCAUUGCAACUUUCCAAGUUUAUAUUUUGGAAAGUAUAUUAUAAGGACUCAAUACUCCAACCCAACACCUACAAAAAUACUAAAGGAAAAUGCUAAAAGCUACACCAAAAAAUUUCGUUGAAAUUGCACGAUCCAUUCUUCCUUGUAAUUAAUCUUGUUAGAGAGUAUUUCUUUGGCAUUUGGCACUUGAUCUUAUAAUGAGUUAAGUUUAAAACAUGGAUUUGGAGCAUCUUUAUGUGUUCUGAUUCUUUCUAUCGGUGCAACAUUGACAAUGAUGGUGCUACCGGCAACAACAAUUUUAGAUUAGGAGUAAUUUAUAACUUAAUAUAUUAUAUUUUAUAUAUCUUAGUUGAUCUUUUAUUUUAUAAAACCAUAAGCCAACAAGAAGAAUGUCAUUAACGAAGCAAAUUGUGUGUUUAAGAGUAUGUCGUGCAUGAGUCGUGCAACAAAUCUCUCGUACCAUAUGGCAAGACUCACCGCUAAAUGGGCCUCGGGUGUACAUAUAACUUACGGCAAGUUCUAUGGUACACCCAACAAUUUGAGUGUAUUGGUACACCAAAUCCUUAAAUUAAUAGUUAAAUGAGUUAUUUUUUGUAGGAAAUAAUUAUUUUCUAUCACCUAUAAUUAUAAUAACUAAAUCUUAUUUACCGAAAACGUCAACGCAAUAAAAUUUGAUUUUUCUUGAAUUUUUAUUACUCAUAAUAGAGAACUUUGAGUAUUUUUUACAAUAAAAUGUAAAAAAAUUAGUAUGAUUUUUAUAAAAAAUGAAAUGAUGUUUUUUUUCAUAUAAAAUGAUAUUUUCUAAAAUAUAUAUAUCAACAAACACCUAUUUUCUUCAUAAAAAAUUAUAGUUAAUUUAUAAAAAUUAUAAGCAAGAGUACCGGUACACCAUAAUUUACGGAUGUACCAUAGAAAUCCCCCUAACUUAUUUAUAAAUUCUCACAUUUGUUAGGUGGUGGGACCAAUAUAUGACUGGUUUCUUUCUUAUUUUAAUUGCGGGACCAACAUGCCACCGAAGAGAUAUAUGGUCCCUGUAUAGGUGAUGGUAAAUAGGUAUCAUUUUUUCCCUUCUCUAACGAGGGUUUUAAUAGAUUGGAGUCCCUCUUAGAUAAAUAAAUGACUCCCCAUUGAAGAUGUUUUUAGUCCCAACAAAUUCUAAGAGAUCGGUUAAACAAUAAUUAAGUUUCUUUGUGUACAAAUAUCUUUCCUUUGAAGCAAUGAGUGUGUGGUUGAUCUACAAAGACGUGGUCCAUUUAGUCUAAUAAAAUCUCUUGGGAUUCUUGAUGGAGACAUAUAAGGCUACAGCAGGUGGUGGUUCAUGAGACCUUAUCUCUAUCAAAUACCACAUUAGCCAUUCAAUUCCGUAAGUACUGAUAUCCUUACAUACAGGUACCAUAUAUAAAUACACAUCAUUGUACUCUCAAAUAUGUCAUAAAGCAUCACAUUUAAAAAAAAAAAAAAUACUUAACUGUGAUAUACAAAUUCUUUGUUGAGAAUCAUUAUUAUAUACUUGUGUUGUGUAACAUAAAAUUAAAGAGAAGUAUGGGUUUUGGUUUAUUUGGUGUAAAAAGAGGUAGAGAUGUAGUGCCAAAAGGGUGUGUUGCAGUGUAUGUUGGAGAAAAUAUGAAGCGGUUCGUGAUUCCUAUUGGAUGCUUGAAUCAACCUUCAUUUCAAGACUUGCUAAGCAAGGCAGAGGAAGAAUUUGGGUACCAUCAUCCAAUGGGUGGACUAACCAUUCCUUGCAGUGAAGAUUCUUUUUUAAACAUCAUAUCAUCAGUUGAUUCUUAAUAAAGACUACACGUUAGUUUUGAGUUUUGAUAAACUAUUUUGUAGAUUCUUUUUCCCCUUUUAUUUUUAUGCAAAAGUGGAAAAUGUAAGGGCACUGAGUUUUUUUAGCUCAGUUUUCUUUUUAUUUUUAUUAUUGAUCAUGAAAUUUCUGCAUAUAUUAUGGACUAAAUUAAAUUGAGUUGUGUUAUUAUUUUUUUGAAAGAGAAAAAAGAACAAUAUAGAAGUUGGAAAACAUGUAUCUAUCUAUCAUUUAAGACGAGUGUUUAUCUUUUUUAUUUUAUGAAUAAAAUUGGCUACGUCUUAGACAAAAAAACUAUAAACCCCUAAAAAAAAUAGUACAAGAGGAAUCUGUCAACAAAACAUUUGACAAAGUGGCAGGAGAAAACUCAAAAAUCAUAAACUUAGCGUCCAAAUUCAGCCCAUAUUUGGUGAGACAAUCUGCAACUUAAUUGUAAUCUAUGAGUCUGCGUACACUUGAAUAUUCCUAAAAUCUCUACUCCAAGCAAUCUUCAAUUCGUGUAAAAUCACCAAAGUUCAGUUUCUAGUAUAGAAUACAGAACAUAGAGUCAUUUUUGCACCAAAACCAAAUAUAAAGCUCUCAUAUGUUAUUUUGUUAGUUGUUUUUAUGCAUUUUUAGUAGAGUUCGGACGAUUUUAAAUGGUUUUGAAGCGAACAGAAAAUGAGGAGACACGGAGAGCAACACUCGUGUCACGAUUUUUGUACAUCGUGACACUCGUGGCAUGAUUUAUAACCAAAUUGAAGAGCAUCAUCUCGCAAAAAAUUGGGCCAAGAUUUGAGGAUCGUCUAGAAGAAUUUCGAAUUGGAAUGUGUAAUCGUGACAUGAUUUUUCAGUUACUGAAGUAGGAUCUAUUAAAGUCAGACAUGUUUCUAUGUAACGGGUUCGAAAAUUUUAGAGAUAAAACACAUUUGGAGCUGAAGAAUUGGAGGUUUGGUAGGAAGCCAUCAAAACUCACAGUGAGUCAUCCAAUUAAUGUAAUGAAUCAUACUCUUAGCUUGUAUUAGUUGUUUAUGCUUCCAUGAGUACAUGUUAAUUUUAUAUAUAUUGAAAUAAAAGAUAUAUAGAUUGGCUAUUAUUCACCAAAGUACAUGUUAAUUUUAUAUAUAUCGAAAUAAAAAGUUAUUAUUUGAGUCAUAACGAGUCAUCUCAUGUUUAGCACAAAUCACUACACAAGUUUCUAUAAUAAGAAGCUCGCUUUCGAGUUCAGAGGAUGACGAUGUACUUGAGAAUGUCGAAAAGUAUCCUUUGUUAUUUGUUCAUAUCAAAAUAAUUUCUUCUAAAUUAUAUCCAAAACUAUUUUUUGGGGUAUCUAGGAGAAGUGGCAAGAAACACCAAAAAAUCACGCACACAAUAUUCUGAGUACAAACUUGGGUGAAGAAGGUGUUUAGCUUAAAGGUAUCAGUAUUGUCAAUAUAGAUAGACCUUAUGAACAAACUAGUUUAAAUUUAACAAUUGAUAAGAUUAUAAAAAUAAAAAAUUUAUUAUUUUGACUGAUAUAAAUAUAUUACAGUAUUAUUUAUAUGCAAAAAAAUAUAAUAUUUUUAAGGUAUCAAAUUAAAAUUGUCUUUUUUUUUAGAGAAAAUUAAAAUUGUCUUUUUUUAGAGAAAAUUAAGAGAGUUCCAUUAAUUUGUUUCUUUGAUUUUUUAAAGACAUUAGGAAACGGUAGGAAAUAGAUCAAUGAAGAUGCGGAUUAGAAUCCUGUUUGUUUUUUUUUUCUUCCACCUAGAAAGGAAAUAUCUUCUGCUAUUGGUUUAAGUUUUGGAAAUUAUUGGACAAGUCAUCUCUCACCAGCAUAUAAUUUGUUGUGGCCUUGUAACAAACAAAAAUGCAUGUAAAGAUGCUGCUUGACUUCGAAAUGAAGAAUAAACUGUCAUGAGUAAACAGGGCUUCACUCAUUCAAGAGAAUAUGCAAUUUCCAAGUUGUUUUUCGUGUUCUUCUCAAGUACUUGUCCUGCAAGUUAUUUUGACUAAGAAAGCUACCAUAUAGCUACUGAUAAUAGAAUUGAAGAUAAGUAAAGACCACAAUUUGUGACAAUGUUUCCCAACAUUUUUAGUCAAAAAAGAGUUUCUGAACAUUUAGGCUAAUCAUCUAAAAAGAUGUCGUCAAAAACGUUGCUAUGAAUGCAUAACAAUUAGCCUAGAUGCAGAGAAAUUAAACUACUCUGCUAAUUCAAAGAAUGUGAAUCCAAAAAGAGCUUUGAAUUCAAGUCCAUGUGAAAUCAUUCGUCUCAACUUGUAUUUGAAAGAUUUUUUUAGCUGUCUAUUGUCUUCAUUUUUUAUUAAGCAAGAAAUAUAACUAUAUCUAAGGCAUCAAUAUAAAUAUUAAAGACAGAUCAAAAUAGAGGUCAUCCCCAAAAACCAAUUGAGGCAAUCAACUUCCUUAUAAAUAUUAAUAAAUCCAAAAUAAAAGUGCAGAAACUUUUUAUAAAGUAGAAAAGUAAGAAAAAAAAAAUAAUAUUGUCUAGCUAUAACGGCUUAUUAAAGCUUAUUUCCAUUCUACUUUAAUUUGGAGGAGGGAAGAAAAUGGCAUCAGCAGUCCUCUUUGAACGGAAGAGCUUCUCAACUUCUGGAUCUACAUUGAAAGCAGCCUGCAGAACCGUAGGCGAUAGCGCCUUCCACACCGAAGAACUUCCAGCCAUGUGUGUAAAUACAGGACUGCAAAAACAACAAUCAUAACCACAGUAAGUAUAAAUAAUAACAAACAAGAAAAGGAUAACAUUAUAUGCAAUUUGAUUGACAAGAAAUAACCUUUAGGUAAGAAAAACUCACUUAGGGGUGGUGAUGAUAGAAAACCACUCCAUUCCAUCAUUGUCAGCAAUCUUCGAGACGACGAAGAACCUUGGAACAAUGAACAAAUCUCCGGACUUCAAAGUUGUCUCCAAAACUCUCUUACCAUCAACACCAACAACCUGAACACGGCCGCUCCCUCUAACAAUGUAAGUAACCUGUAAAGCAGAAUCACAAGAGAAACCAGGAGAGCACAUGGAUCUUCCAUCAAUCCUCACAAGGUCAGCUCCUAAACCAACCUCACCAACCAAAGGAAGGUUCUUGGUGUUCAAGACAACAACCCUUCCACCAUUCUUAAUAUCAACAUCCAAUGGUGCCUCCAAACAGUUCAAAGCCAUGCCUUUCUUGUGUUCCUCUUUAGGCUGAGGAAGGCUUAUUUUUCCGUCAAGCUUCACAAUCCCUUUAGCAGAUUGCUUUCCAACAAGAGUCUUCACAUUGUUCUCGUCCAAGUCCCAAGCUCUUCCCACAAACUCAGUUGAAAAUCCAGUAAAGAUUCCAUUAGGACCAGUCAGGAAAAAAUCAGUAAACUCACCAGCUUUGUGUGCUUUUGAAGUAUCGCCAAGGAACAGAACAACUAACUCAGUGUCCUCUUUGUUGUACCACCAUGUCACAACACCAAAAGGGAGUGCUAAUGCAUCACCCUCCUUAAUUGCGACAACCUUCUCUUUUGAUUCAGGUAGCACAAUUCCAGCAACUCCACUUCCUGUAUCAACAAAUCUUUGCCAUUAAGAAUCUCAACAAUUCUACUAUACUAUCAAUAUUGGUAAUCACAAUAGCAAUAUGAAUUAUGAAAUACAAAAUAAAAUACUCAAAACACAAAUUUAAAUUGCUAUCAUAACCCCGAUUAAGUGAUCAACACAAAAACAAUUAAAAACAAUCAUUCUAAAUCAAAAUUGAUCAAAAUAAAAUAGAAAUAAAAAAGAUGAAUUAGAUGAUGAAAGUUUAUUUACCUUGAAGAACAUAAGCAACCUUGGAAGAAUCAGAAUACCUUGGAACAGCAAAACCAUUCUUGUGAAGAGCUAACUUGGCAGCACCAAUGUUACCUUCACGCAACAUAGGAAGUUCAGAAGGAGACCAUGCAUAGUACGAUCCACCAUCACCACCGUACACUUUCUUAGCCAAUUGAGGAGAAAGAUCGAUAUCCAUAGCAACAACACAAAAAUUGAACGAUCACACGAAAAAGCAAAGCAAAGGAAAUUUGAUGAAGAGAAUAAAUUUUGAUGUGUUUUUGAGGGCAUAUAGUUUGGUGUAUUUAUAGGUAGAAGUGUAACAAACUGCAUGUGUGUAGAUAGUGUUAAUCCGUAAUUUAAAACUCGUUAUCAUCCAAAUACUGUAACUAUCAUAGGGUUAAACUAAAUAAUAAUAUUUUUGAAAGAUAAUAACACUAACUAAAGGGGUGAAUUUAAAUUAGGAUUAGGAUGUUGUUACUCUUAUCCUUUUUUUAUCGUUUUUUUAAUCAAGUAUAUCGUUUCUUUCUAAUUAUGACACUUGUUUAGAAAAUCAAAAGUAGUAGAUUUGUAUCAUUCAACAAUAUUUUAACUUUUAAAAAUUCAAAUUCAUCACUUUUAUCAUUUUUCAAUGCAAUAUUUACAUUUUUUUUAUCCUUUUAAUCAAUGUCUUAAGGGCACACUUUAGCAUUUCCUUAUUAAUUAUUAAAACUCUACAAAAAUGAUUAAUUAAUGUAGAAUGAGUGUGUAGAUAACCCUAACCCUAACCUAGUCGAGUCUUUGUAAAGUGGAGUGAAUAGGUGCGGAAGGGAAUGCGUCAAGAUCGUGGAGGAAGAAAUCUUUGACCGAGAAGAAAGUGGAAUGUUGAUGGUGUUGGAUGAAAUUGAAAGAUGAAAAAGGGAAACAAAACAAGGAAGAGAAAUAGUGGAGAAGAACCGGAGUACAUAGAUGUGGCUUGGGAAGCGCAAAUUGUCUUCCGAUGCCGCCAACUCCCGAGAAGGAAUCCGUGGAAAACUCGAUACUACAUAGGCUUAAAAGAAAUUUUGGUCCCCCUAUUUUAACUCAAUCGGAAUUUUUAUCCCCCUUUAUUAACAAACCACCAUUUUAAGCCCCUUGUUUUGUAUUUCUAUUUUUUUUAAUCCCCCAUCAUAUUUGGUGAUGUGUUACUCUCAUUAAUGAUGUUUCAGUGACGUGUCAGCGCAUGUUGGCUAAUUCAGUUUCCGUGUCGAAUUAUAAAUUACAAAAACUAAUAUCAUUAAUUAUUAAAAUAAGAAAAAGAAUUAAAUCAUUAAAGUAAGGGGAUCAAAUUAAGGGAACGUAAACCCUAAUUUCAUUCAUCCUCAUCCACAUUACUUUCAAAUCAUCCUCUUCAUUCUCUUUCUCUUUUGUGUUUUUUCGUUUUUGUUCUUCAAGCACAUCAGAAGACAUUCAUUUUCGUUCAUCCUCAAUCUUUCUUUAAGCAGAAAACGAAUUCAAAACAAACCCUAAUUCAUUUUAGAACCCCAUUUGUUUUUGUUUUCGCAUAAGCACAUAAACUAUUUCGUUUUCGUUCAUUCACCUAUCAAACAUGUUCAAUUCGAAUUUCUCUUACUAAGGCUUCGUUUGGUUAUUAUAACACGAACGGAACGGAGCAGAAUGGAAUGGUAUGGAGCGGAAUGAAUAGAUGCUCCAUUCCAUUGUUAAUCUAUUAUUAAAACUCGUUAUUAUCCAAUACCGAGUUCGUAAUUACGAUAGGGUUAAACUAAAUAAUAAUAAUUUUGAAAGAUAAUAACAGUAAGUAAAGGGGUGAAUGUAAAUUAGGAUUAGGAUGUUGUUACUCUUAUCUUUUUUCUGUUUUUUUUUUCUUUAUAGUUUUUUUAUUCAACUAUAUUGUUUCUUUCUAUUUAUUAUAAAACUCGUUAAGAAAACUAAAAGUAGUAGGUUUUCAUAGGAUUCAACAAUAUUUUAAGUUUUCAAAAAGUUAAAUUCAUCACUUUUAUCAUUUUUCAAUGCAAUAUUUCUAUUUUUAUCCUCUUAAUAAAUGUCUUAAGAGCACUCUUUAGCAUUUCAUUAUUAAUUAUUAAAACUCUACAAAAAUUAUUAUUUAAUGCAGAAUGAGUGUGUAGAUAACCCUAACCUGGUCGAGUCUUUUGAAAGUGGAGUGAUUAGUGGCGGAAGAGAAUAAUGCAUCAAGAGAAGAAUGGAGUGAUAAGAAAGUAGAAUGUUGAUGGUGUUAGAUGAAAUUGAAAGAUGAAAAGGGAAACAAAAUGAGGAAGAGAAGAAGAGGAGAAGAAUCGGAGUACGUAGACGUGGCUUAGGAAGCGCAAAUUUUCUUCCAAUGCCACCAACUCGUGAGAAGGAGUCCGUGAAAAGUUCAAUAUUACACAUGCUUAAAAGCAAUUUUGAUCCACCUAUUUUAACUCAAUCGGAAUUUUUAUCCCCUUUUUUAAAACCACCAUUUUAGUCCCUUGUUUUGUAUUUCUUUGAUUUUUUUUAGUACCCCAUCAUAUUUGGUGAUGUGUCACUCUCAUUAAUGAUGUUUCAGUGAUGUGUCGGUGCAUGGUGGCUAAUUCAGUUUCCGUGUCAAAUUAUAGAUUAUAAAAACUAAAUGAUUAUUAUUAAAAUAAGAAAAAGAAUUAAAUCAUUAGAGGAAGAGAUCAGAAUGAGGGAAUGUAAAUCCUAAUUUCAUUCAUCUUCGUCCACCUUCCUUUCGAAUCAUCCUCGUCGUUCUCUUUCUCUUUGGCAUUUUUCGUUUUUGUUCUUCAAGCACAUCAGACGCCAUUCAAUUUUGUUCAUCCUCAAUCUUUCUUUAAGUAGUAAACAAAGUCGAAACAACCCUAAUUUGUUUUUGAAUCCCCAAUUGUUUUCGUUUUCGUAUAAGCACAUCAACUAUUUCGUUUUCGUUUUCGUUUUCUCCUACUUAAGUCAUGAAUUCCAAUUGCAGCAGCCAUUGCAUACAAGCUCGACAAAAAUAAGAGUUGGUGAGAAGAAUGUUGAUUUUUGAUUUGGGACUAAAAUCACAUUUAAGCAUCUUGUAUACUAGAGAAAGUUAGAUCAAAAUAAAUAAAUUUAUUUAGUUCAAAAUUUGAUCAAAUACUUAUUGAUAUAAUUUUUUUUCUUAUAUAUAGAACCAAAGUAAGAAUCAUACAAAUUUUGAUCGUACCACACCGCAUAAACAUAAAGUUGUGACUUGUGAUAUUUUCUAUGAGCAUUCUUUCAUAUCUAUGGUGUGAUCGAUCUUUAUCCCUAUAAAUAAAACUAAUUCAAAAAAUUUAUUUCAAAACAAUUGUUUUCUCUGUGAUGGUUUAAAAAAAUGUUUUAUGAAAAAUUAUAGGUUACUUUUAAGAAAUUAUGGAUAAGUUACUCACAAUCAAUUAAACUAAACUUCUCCACUAACUUUGUUUUUAGAACUUUAUCUUUGAUAUAGUUAGCGGAGUACAUGUGACAGAUUUUAGUUUGAUUGUGGAUUACAUAAUUACAAUUUUCUAAAGAUAACUUUGGUCUCAAAUUUUUUUCUUCUUAUAUACCAAAUUUAUUUCACAAUAAUAUGGAUAUGCAAUUAAGAGAACAUAAAAACGUGUUGGUGUUCGACUUUUGGGUAGUGCAUAAUAAAUACUUUUUGGGCAUAGUGUAUUAUUUUUGGGUCUUUAUCAGGCAUUAUUAAAGGGAUUGUCUAUUUAUUAAAAUUCUUACUCCAUCAUGACAUUUUUCCUCCUUAACAUAGGUUGUAUUUAAUUGUUUUGAUCGUCAAAAUGCAAAUUAUUGUAGUCGAGGAAUUUAUUGUGGCCUGACUCAUUUACUCAUGUAAUUAAUUGUUAUUGGACUAACGAACAUCUUUUGAGCCACCGGCUUGGUUAGACCUUGUCAGUAGCCUAGAUUAACCUAUAAAGUGAUUAUAAAUAUAGUGUUACAUUUGCAAAAUCGUUUUAGGUAUUGAUGCUUAAUCAUAUAUAACUCAUUUUUGCACUUUAGUUCACUAUAAGAUUUUGGAUUUUUUGAAGUAGAUUUAAACGCUUGCUUUGAUUUAUUUUGUAUAGAUUGAUAGCAUUUAAAACAAUUAGUUGUAAGUUUGAUUGAAUUCGCUAGAUUAAUAUUGGUUUUGUGACGCUUGUUUCAUAAUCAUAGUUAAUUGGAUUUUGUAAUGAUUAAUCUAAUAGGGAUUCUUAUACAGUUAAUUGAUGUUUAAUUGGUUAAUUUUAUAAUCAAGCAAGAUAAUAGUUAUGAAACAAAUGUUAUAUGUCUACAUGAUAACUAGUAAAUAGAGAAAUUGCAGAUAAGAGAAUACCACAAUUUUUAACAAUCUCCUAUGUCCCUAACUGAGUUAAUACUACUGUUACUUGGAAAUUGGUAGACAUGUUGGUCCCAAAGUUUUGCCAAAUAAACAACCUGAAUUCGGUAUCAAAGAAGGUCAUUGAACAGUGAAUUUGGUUUCUUGAAAUACAUAAUUAGAAAAUAGAAUGAUAAAAUCUGAUAAGUACAAACUGAUCAAUGAAUUUUGGAAAUUUAGAGUUAGAGGUAUAUAUCUAAAAUUUGAGUAGACAAAAGUUAGAGAGUAGAAAAGAUACACAGUCAUGGACUAUAGAUAGAUAAACCAUGCUUCAAAGGUAGGAAAACAUAUAGAAUGAGGAUGUGUUAUUCAAUGGAUUAUUCAAGGAAUUGUAAAUUUCUUAUCUGCAUUAAAAUAAUAAUUCACACAAAAUACUAAGGUUCUUCCCUUGCUGGGAUUCAUGUGUACUAUUCGUGUUUUGAAAUUUAUCAGAACAUCAAGUCUAUUUUUUCUGAUACUAAUUGGUCUAACUGCAAGGAAGAAUCAACAUUCUAACAUAGAAACAAAAAGUAAACAUAGGAGCUGCUUGAAAAGUAUAAUUCAUUGUUAUUAUUCAUCAAACAAAAAAAGCAUUCUCAAAAUUUAUCAUUCUUAUGAUAAUUACAUUUCCAAUCUCUGUAGGGUCUUUACAAUUUGAUAAGAUGUCUCAUGUUCAAAAUGGAUCUACUAACAGUAAACUAUGUCGGUCUCCUACAAUAGUGUGAGCUUUACAAGCGAGACGUUAUGUGCUGGAAGACAUCUUCGGUGCAAGAAAUAGUGAGGCCAACCAUUGGUUCAAGUAUGAGAUGGAAAACAUACUACAGUCAGUGAGUUGUAGUUUGAGCAGCAGCCACAGUAGAAACCAUUGAGUCCACUCCACAGAUAUUUCGUCCCCUACAAAUCUUAUAGUAUCCAUUUUCUCCCCACGUCUCGCCCCAGGAGCUUUUAACAAUCCAAUACGGCUUCUCCUUCGUAUAAGCUCCAGAACCGUACCCCACCAGCAAAACUCCAUGAUCCAGCCUCCUUGUACAAGUGUAUGGGCACGAUACACCUCCCACGUAUGUCUGCAUGUAUGCCGCAUUUAUGGCAACUGCAUUUGUGAACAUUUGAAUUAGAUAAUUAUAAGUAAAAUAAUAGUAAUAAUAAUUAUAAUUCAAAUUGUUCAGAUUGUUAGGGUAUUACUCACCAGCAAGAGGUCCAUAUUUGAGAAGAUUGGCAGCAAUUUGGUCGUCAUCAACUAAAACAGAACUGAAAUUUGCCGCCACCGAUCGUGCAAUGUUUGUCUUGUAAUAAGUAUAGUCUUCCACUCGCAUGAGACCACCAGAUUUUUUAAUGUACUCAUGAUCACAAUCAACAUGUUGUUGAUCACUAAGACUAACGAGUUCUCCAGUAGAGAGGAAGUUAGCACCUUCGAGUGCGCCAAUUGUACUGAAACUCCAACUCGAACCACAGAAACCCUAAUUCAUAGUUACAAAUCCAAAAUCAAAAUUUAAAAAAUUUAAUCAACUUAUAACAACAAUAUUAAUCAUAAUCAUAAUUACUUAAUUAGAAAGAAUAUAUACCUGAUUCCUAACAGGGGUAACCGCUCCUUUUUCUCUCCAAUCAAAAUCACGAGGAAGGUUCUCGGACGAAAGAAUAGGUGCAGCUUUUGCAUGUCUCGGUAACCCUACUCCUUUUAAUCCCAAGAUGCUAUUACGAAACUCCCUCGGAGUAAGAUCGGAGAAUCUUGUAACACCAUGAGUUGCCGAAGGAUCCAUUAUCACAUGUCUCUUAGCACGGUGAAGGUUAGACUUGAAGACGUUGAACCUAUAAUCAUGUUCAUCUUUGGAGGAAUAAACCUUACCAAACCUUUGCUUGAAUUCAUUAAAUUGAUGCUCAGCUCCUCCCUUAUCGACCACCUGCUGGAUUAUUGGAUCUUCUCGGUCGUUUGGCGUCGAGAAUGCCAAGUCGACAGAAAAGAACAGGAAAAGGACAGAGAACAGCAUGAGAGUCUUGUUACGAUUCAUCAUGGCUUGAUCGUAGUAUGGUAUGUUAUGACUUAUGAUAUGUUAAGUUGAGUGCUGAGUGAGUUUUAUAUAGGGAAAAUGUUACAUGAACACCCUUUAUUUCUACACUCCAUUGUACACCUCAUGUAUUAGGGAUAUUUUGGUAAGUUCAUCUUACAACCACACUUUAUCUUCUAUUUAUGUGGGGUCCAGGUUGCCACGUGUCAGAAUUUUGUAUGGGUGUAAAGGGUGUAUUGCCACAUGGGGUGGUACAUGUAUCAUCACUCUUUAUAUAGUGGUUACGAUUACAAUAAAGGGAUAAUAAUGAGUGAUAACAAAUAGAUGCAGGACACGUGGAAUUAGUUUUCUGUUAUAUUUGAAUUUAGUUGACAGUUAGCGAAAACUGAUAGCUAGGAUUUUUCUAGGUUGUUGCUUCAUGUCGGUGUCAUGUGAAUAAAAGCCCAAACAAGUAAAGAACUAAACUCAAUAAACUCAAUCUUCUUUUAUGGUGGUGGCCAGAGUUUGAACACCUGGACCUUGCAUAUAUUAUGCAUUAUUUCUUUCAACUGAGUUAAGCUCACGAGAACAACUAAACUCAAUCUUCUGCAAGUAAUUAGCACGGAAAGGCUCGUUGGUUUAAUUUUUUUUUUUAAUGUAAAGAACUAGCAAAAAGACGGACACUCAUGUGCUCGCUCUUUUUAUUGCGUUAACGUUUGUAUAUUAUAUUUUUUUAUGAAAUUUUAAUUUUGAUUAAAAGUAAAAAUAUAAAUAUUUUUUGCUUUCAAAUUAUAACAAAUCAAAUUAAUCAUGAUUAUCUAUUUCAAUGAAACAGACAAUUUAACAAAAAAUAAUCUAAAUUCUUUCUUUUUAAUAACUCUAACAACAAUUUUAUUAUAGAAAAAGUUGUUGUUUAAGGGUAUAAUUGGGAUAAUGAAAAAAUAAGUAUAGAUAUACUCAUCUAGUUUGUAACACUUUUUAAAUGAUAAAGGAAAAAAUUUGACAUUUGUGUUUAUUACACUUUAAUUUUAAUAUUUAAAUUUAUUCUUAUCUAUUUGUUACAUGUGUUAUUUGGAUUGAAAAUUGAGGGCAUUUUUUAAAAGAAAAAGAUGAAAGAGGUUGUUUUAUUUAUAUAUAGUAUAGAUAAGGGCAAAUGACAACCCAUUUCACUGAGAGUCUGUUUGGUUCAAGAGUUUUGGAGGGGAGUGGAAGAAAUAUUUUUAAUUUAACGUGUUUGAUUCAAAUUUUAGAAGGGGAGAAGAGAUGAACAAAAUCCUUUCAAAACUCACUUUUUGCUUCCCUUAAACGAUCUCUUUAAUAUUUUAUGCAUUGCUAAAAUUAUCCUUAGAUUAAUUUAAAAUCUCAAUAUUAUCCUUAUAAUAACUUUUAUUAUUAUUAUUAUUAUUAUUAUUAUUAUUAUUAUUAUUAUUAGGUUAUAUUAUCCUUGUAACAACUUUUAUUAUUAUUAUUAUUAUUAUUAUCUUUUAAAAAAAAACUUAUUAUUAUUAUUAUUAGGUUAUAUUAUCCCUAUUGUAACUAAAAAAAAAGGUUAUAUUAUCCCUAUAACAACUUUUAUUAUUAUUAAGUUAUGGGAAAAGUUAACCUGUGUCCUUAAGGCACAAGUUAAAUUUUAUUUUAUUUUUUUAAAAAAGAAAAGAUAUCAUUAAUGAAUCAAAUCAUGAAAAUACACCUCACUGAUUUGGGGAGGAACCUCUUCUAACCAAAUCUCUUUGGGAUUUAAAUGAGCUAAUUGGGCCAUAGCAUGGGCCGUUUUAUUACACUUCCUAGAGAUAGAUUGGAAUUGCCACGCGUCAAAGCUCCAUUGCAUGGCUUUGAUUUCCUUUACAACACUUCCCAUAUAAGAUCUGUCUUCCAGAUUGAUACUUUGAGCUAGGCGCAUAACUUUCUCAUUGUCACCUUCAAAGCAAACACGACGAAAACCACAGUCAACUGCAAAAUGAACCGUUGUAAGUAGUGCGUGCGCCUCUGCUAAAGUAGCAUCUUCAAAACCUUUAACCUUCCACGUUGCAGCUGCCAUUGCUUGACUUGGUCUCGAAUCAUGGUUCCUAAACCCCACCAUCCAUGGUGUUGCAAAUUGGCGUCACAAUUCGCCUUGACCCAUCCAUUUUCCGGCGAAGUCCAAAGGCUAUAUUUCGACGAACGCUGGUGAACUGAAGCAGCAGUGAGAAUGGUGUUACUAGAUAUAUCGGUUGCAAUUCUUGCCUAUUGACAAAGUUAAACUAAAUUAUUUUUUGUGGCUGAAAUCAUCACAUGUGCUGUUUAGUUAUAAUUAUCAUGAUUGGUGGAAACACCCGCUUCCUUGUAUGGGAGUCCAGGUGUAAUCUGUUUCUUUUUUUGUUUGGUGCUCUUGUCUGUUAGCGCCUUUUUACUGUAAAUACUGCUGGUUGUUUUCCCUUUGCAUGUCUUGUGCAGGGUAAUUCAACUUUGUUUAUAAUAUAUACCAUUUUAGUUUGUUCAGAAAAAAAAAUUGUUAUAAAUAUAAUAUUGAGAUUUAAAUUAAUCUAAGGAUAAUUUUGACAGUGAAAUAAAAUUUGCUCCGCUCCUCUUCCCUCCCCUUUUAAAAAUUGAAUCAAACACUUCAAAUUAAAUUAUUUUUCUCCCUCCCCUCUAAAACUCUCGAACCAAACGGAUUCUCAGAGGCCGUUUCCAAGACUUGAAUAUGAGACAUUUGACAAUAACUUUAACAGCUGGUUACCCUUAACCCUAUAAAAUAUUAUAAGAAUCUUUGAAGAAAAAUUAAAAAAUAAAACUUUUGGGAAAUUAACAAUCAAUGAAAAAAUUUAGGGUUAAAUAUGUUUUUGGUCCCUAUAAAUAUACCAACUUUUCAUUUUAGUCCCUCAAAAAUUUUCCUUCACCUUUCAGUCCCUCAAAAAUUUUCCAUCUUCACUUUUGGUCCCUCUCUUAAAGUAAACUCAUAUGUAGAAUACAUAUUUUUGAAUAAAAUUGUGCAGAAAAAUGCAUAAUAUUAUAAGAAACUCUCCCAAAAAAAAUUAGAAUUUUUUAAUAAAACAUGAAUUUAAUAUGAAUUUUUAUAUGUUUGACGGUUAAAAAUUCAUAAUUAAUUUAUGUUUUGUUAAAAAAAUUUAAAUUUUUGGGGUAAUAUUUUUUACAAUAUUCUACACAUUUCUGCACAAUUUCAUUAAAAAAUACAAAAAUUAACUUAAAAAUAGGGACCAAAAGUAGUGAUUGAAAAUUUUAUAAGGACUAAAAGUUGAAGGAAAAUUUUAGAGGGACUAAAACGAAAAGUUGAUAUAUUUAUAGGACCAAAAACAUAUUUAACCCAAAAAUUUAAUGGGAUUAACAUGAAAAAUUGGAAUACCCUUUAUCGUCAUCUUCCCAGGAUCUCACUUAUCCCUUCCUUAUCAGUUUCUCAAAUCCAUUGAUUUUGUUGUCUGACUCCCUAACAGUGGAUUUGAAAAAACUUUUCAUUAAAAAUAAGAUUAACCAGUAAUUCUUUGAAAUGAAGGCUGAUUCAAGGGAAUAAUUAACCUCAAUACUAAGUCACUGUGAAGGGAAGGUACCUCAUAAACACAAGUUUCUUAUCUAUUUUAUGUAGUUUAUUAGAAUAAUUUUGUUUUUCUUUCAAAUUUAUCAUUCAUUUUUGUCCUAUAAAUUUUUUUAUCAUUCAUUAUCUUUUAUUUAUAGAUAAUGAGGUUCUUUUGAAAUAGAAACCCAAUUCCAGGCUAAAUGAUUGUAUGAAACGGUAAAAUAAUAGAGAGCAUAGGAUGAGAUAUCAUGUGGUGUUUGUCUUAGAUUGUACCCCACCCUUUCAAACAAUGUCCAAUACAAGAGGAACCUCAUAUUUGUUCAUGCAUUAAUAUUAAUCUCUUUUAUUAAUAUUUGUUCAUGCACUAAUAUUAAUUGGUACGUACUUCAUAAUUUUGCAAACAUGUCUAAGACAUGUUUCUUCAUUUUGAUAAUGUUGAUCUCCAGCUGGUAAGUUAUUAUCUGCUUCACAUUCUUCUCAUACACCAAUAUCUUCUUUUCACAAGACAUACAAGAAUGGGUUUUCGUUUACCUGGUAUCCUCAAACCAAGCAUCUUCAAAAGGAGUGGAUGUGCCAAAGGGAUACCUUGCAGUAUAUGUUGGAGAGGAAAUGAAGCGGUUUGUGAUAUCAAUUUCUUUGUUAAGCCAACCAUCGUUUCAAGAAUUGCUGAAUCAAGCUGAGGAACAAUUUGGAUAUGAUCAUCCAACGGGUAGUCUCACAAUUCCUUGUAGAGAAGACGUUUUCUUAGAUAUUACUUCUCGUUUGAAUCUGUGCUAACCCUUCAGAAGAAAUUAAAGAACCGACAUAGAUAAUUUGAGGCAAUUUUGUACAGCAGAAACUUAUAUUAUUUAGGAAAAUUUUCAAAUUAACUUGUAUUACAAACUUAUAUGCAGAAAUAUAAUAUAAAGAGACACAUUUAUCUUUCAUAUGCUCAUCUGGGUUAUGCCUUUUAACUUUUUUCCCUAUUCUAUAAUUCACGAAGAACGAAUUUUACCUGUGAAAGAAGCAAACUGUUUUAUUUCAAAAUCAUUAGUUGCACCUGAUAUUUAGUAAGAGAAAUCAAUUACUUUGAUUAGUUCAGCUCAUUUUGGAAGGGAAGAAAAUAGAUCAAUAGACCAGUGGAUUAGGAUCCACAUCAUUCUCUGCCACAAAAAGGACAGUAUCAUAGCUGAUUAGGCUCACAGGAGUUAUGAUGCAUCAUACAUUUUGAAUGAGAAAAAGGAAAUUAACAAUGUUUUUGUGUAGGAUAAGAAAGGAAGAAACAUAAAAUAAUUCAUCUUUAUAAUUUAUUUGUGCACAUAUUUCUUAACUCUCUUCUUCAAUUUCUUGAUGUUUUAUGCUAUUACUACAUCUAGCCAAAUCCUCCACUGUUGGUGAGUGGAUAUUGAUCGAUAUUUUGUUAGUAUUUGACUUGGUUCCUUUUAAUAUGAUUAAGGGUGUGUUUGUUUCAAGUUUACUAAAUUUAUUCCUAGGAAUAACAUUCCUUGGAAUAUAAAGAUGGGAAUUUUAUUCCAAGGAAUUUAGGAAAAAUAUGUUUGGUUAGCUUUAUAUAUUCCUAGGAACCAUAAAAAUAGGGAUUAUAAUAGGUAAAUUAUUUAUGAAUUUAUUCCCAUCUCCAUGGGAACUUUAUUCCCACCCUUUUCCUUGGGAAAUUUUUUUUUAUACCCGCGAAUAAAAUUUAGUAAACUUGUAACAAACAUAGACAUAUACAUUCCUAUCAUUUUAUUCCCGAGAAUCAACAAUUAUAACUUGAAACAAACACACCCUAAGAAUAUUUUUUUUUCAGUUUUGUUAGUUAAUUUCAUACUUCACAGAAUCGUCACCCUUAGGAUGAUGCUUUACAAUUUUAUUUUAUUUUUAAUCGGCAAAUAUUAUUAAACGCCAUCCCCCGCAAGACGCAAGGUAUGGACGAAACAAGAUACAAAUUGUGCCGCAUAUAGAUGGUACACCAUAACCACCUAAAAACACCCCUGAAGAUAAACCCACCAAAACACAUCACCACCUAAAACAAACUCCAAAAAGGAUGCUUUACAAUUUAUAUGUAGAAUGGAAGUUUAAUGUAUGAAUCCUUUGAGAAAGAAUGUCAUUUGAUUCUUUGGUCUAGGAAUAGUUAUAAAAUACAACUACAUAUUUAGAUUACCCUUCUUAACGCCUUCUCUUAUUUAAGAUCAGCUAAGUUAUCAACAAUUUUAUAUAAGGUUAAAGGUUUACAUUAGGAUUAUUUUUAUGUUUUCACCAUCUAUUUGUUUCCACUUAACAAUUUAAUAUUUUGAAAGAGUUGAUUCAUGAUGUAGUAUGAGAACUUUUAUGUUUAAUUGCAGACUUGUCGAACAAGAGUUGCAGCAGAACAGCAGAUGGUAUAAACAGUAUAAAUAAUGAAAACAAAGAGAAUACGAAAAAAGGUGGCUGUUUAUAUAUAUAAUUUUUCGCGCAAAAAAUAAGAUAUAUAUAGAAAUUCAUUGAAAUUUGACCAAAAAAAGUCAAAUAUCUAUAUUCAUAACUAUCUCAAUUCAAUGACUUUUCCUCUUAGAAAGAAUGAAAAAAAAUAAGUGUCUGCUAUACAAUUUAGUCUCAACUAACUAAUAUCUAUGUCAGUCUUCUUUAGUAAGAUUUAUUUAACAUUGAAGCCGAGAAGAGAGUUGUAAGAAAGCAUCUUCACUGCAUGGAAUUGUGAGACCACCCAUAGAAUGAUCAUAUCCAAAUUCUUCUUCUGCUUGAUGUAGUAAUUCUUGAAAUGAAGGUUGGUUCAAUAAUGAAAUGGGAAUCACAAAUCGCUUCAUUUUUUCUCCAACAUAAACUGCGAGAUAGCCUUUUGGGACUUCAUCCACAGCCUUGGAAGAGGAUGACCUUCUAAUACCAGGUAAGUGAAAACCCAUAUUGUUAAUUAUUAUGAGUUGCAACACACUAACAAUGAAUACAACAGCUUUUGUAUGAAAGAAAGAAAUAUUUGAAUUUGUAUUUUGUGAGUGACUUGAAUUGUAUUGCUGCUUAAGAAUGUCAUAAUGAGUAUAUAUAGGAGGAGUCUUUGUGGAAACAAUUCAUUGUGUGGUGUGUAGUGAUUUGUGAACUAUUAUUUGAUGGGGUCUAGUGACAAACAAAGGCCAAUGAGAUGUCACUUGGUAUUGUUUAAUUAUAUCAAGGAUUACUUCACACUUCAAAACUCAUGCCAACUUAGAUUCCCCUUUAGAAAUAGACUUUACAACCAAUUCUUAAAAUUGUAGACCACCCUUUCAAGUGCAACCUCAUAAUUUUGUAAACAUGCUUUAGACAUGUUUUCUUCAUUAUGAUAGUGUUGAUUUCCAGCUGGUAAGUGAUUAUAACGCAAUGGAUAACAAUAGAUCAACAUAAACCAUUCUACAUGUUGGGCUCUGCUCUACAAUGUGGGACUUGCAUUAUCUACUAUAUGAUGUUGGUCCUUGUGAACGUCCUCUGAUGACAACACCAUGUGAUCUGAUUCAUAUGCUCUUGUCUGGCCAUAACUCAAAUUUCAUGGCCUUCCUUUACAAAUCAUUGUAGUUGCCGAAGGUUCGUUACUUAUCCUUUCAUCUAUAUAUAUUCAUAGUUGCAAGCAUUUAGGACCAACACAAAAUCAUUCACAACCUAAAGCAUUUGAGAAACUUGAGUUUUCUUUUACACAGGUCUUUAAUUUUAUAACAAUUUCUUCUUUCCACAAGACAUAUAAGAAUGGGUUUUCGUUUACCUGUUAUCAUCAGAAGGGCAUCAAACCAAGCAUCUUCAAAGGGUGUGGAUGUGCCAAGGGGAUAUCUUGCCGUAUAUGUUGGAGAGGAAAUGAAGAGGUUUGUGAUCCCAAUGUCAUACUUAAACCAACCAUCAUUUCAAGAAUUGCUGAAUCAAGCUGAGGAACAAUUUGAAUAUGUUCAUCCAAUGGGUGGUCUCACUAUUCCAUGCAGAGAAGAUGUUUUCUUAGAUAUCACUUCGCGCUUGUGUAGGUUCUAGACCUUCAAGAAGUAUCUGACAUAGAUUAUUUUAGGCAAAUUUGUACAGAAGACCAUUACUUGUUUUUCAUUAGUCUACAUUCCACCUUUUGUCAGUUAAAAAAACAGUAAAACAGCUGACUGAGGUUAUUAGGGACAAAAAGAUUUUGAUUUGUUUAGGAAAAUUUUCAGUUAAUUGAUUACAAAGUUAUAUGCAGAAAUAUAAUACCAAGAGACACAUUUAUCUUCUAUAUGCUCUUCUGGGAAUGCCUUUUAAUAUUAUUUUUUUCUGCUCCAUAAUUCACGAAGAACAAAUUUUACCUUAAUAUGAAAGAAGGAAAUAUGUUUUAUUUCAAAACCAGCUGGUAAUCUAUACUGUUUUUGGUUCAGUAAUAGUUUUGCUGGAAUGUUAAUUAACCAUCAUGUAUUAGCAAUCUCAAUAUCAGUGCCGAAUUUUGAUCAGUAUCGACCUUGUUUUUGUGCCACAAAAAGGAAUAUAUCUACUGGUUUAAGUUUAGUCUUAAAUUUCAGGUGUGUGCAUGAUUUAACUUUCCAAUUUACAAAAAUUAGAUCAAACUAGUACUUUACGAGAACUAAAAGGAGAUAAAGAAGAACUAAUAAGUUAGGAUUAAUACACUCAGGAAUAAACUCGUACACAUGAUUAAUCCAAAGGAUAUUUGUAAGUAAUUAUUUCAUACUUCAAUAUUUAUAGGGAUUGAUCACCCUUAGGAUGAUUUACAACUUGAAUAUUGAAUGACAAUUUAAUCUAUGCAUCCUUUGAGAUAGCAUUCCAUGUGAUUCUCAAGUUAUUAGUGAUAGAUUUGCAGUGAAACACUCAUCUCAAUAUAGUAGUAUAUGUUUGACUUAAAUGAAAUUUGAACUGGUAAUAAAUAUAUACAAUAUAAAACCGUUUAUUUGUUUUUAGUUAACAAUUUAUAAGGUUUUGAAAGAGUUGAUUUAUGAUGUGGUAUUAUAACUUUUAUGACGAAGUCUAGAGUUUUAACCAUUGAAAUCCUUUUUCUUAUAAGAAAAUAAGUUGAUUUAAGAGCACAGGAAUGUGUAUUUUAUAAUCUUGUGAAAACCUUAAUUGGCUAACCAUAGUAAAAGUUGUCAUUGAAAUUAGUUUGUAAUCAAACAAUCAGCUCUACCUGUGCUACACUCUUCUUUCUAGCCUUAGAGAUUUCUCAAAGAAUUGAGGUCUUGGAUUUAAAUUUUCAAUUAUACAAUCCAGAUUCUUCUCAUUGCAAUUCGAAUCACACUUAUCAGACAAGUGUAGCAGGAGAACAGCAGAUGUUAUAAACAGUAAUAAAAUAAAGAAAACAAAGAUAAUAUUCAAAAAGGUGUCUGUUUAUGUAUAUAACUUUUUCGUGCAAAAAUAAGAUGUAUACAGAAAUUCAUUGAAAUUCGACCAUGAAGUCAAAUAUAUAUGUUCAUAACUAUCUCCGUUGGAUGACAGUUCUGCUUAAAAAGAAUGAAAAAUUAAAGAGUUUUCUGUACAAUUUGUCACAACUAAUAUCUAUGUCAGUCUUCUUUAACGAGAUUUAGCAUUGAAGCCAAGAAGUGAGUUGUAAGAAAGCAUCUUCACUGCAAGGAAUUGUGAGACCACCCAUUGGAUGAUCAUAUCCAAACUCUUCUUCUGAUUGGCUUAAUAACUAUUGAAAUGAAGAUUGAUUCAAUAAUGAAAUAGGAAUCAGAAAUCUCUUCAUUUUGUCUCCAACAUAAACUGCGAGAUAGCCUUUUGGGAUUCCAUCCACAGUCUUGGAAGAUGACCUUCUAAUACCAGGUAACCGGAAUCCCAUAUUGUUAGUUGUACACACAAACAAUGCAAUAACUUGUGUAUAAAAGAGAGAAAUAUUUGAAUUUGUAUGUUGUGAGUUGCUUGUUUUGGUGAUUUAGAAUGUAAUGAUGAGUAUAUAUAGAUAGAUAAAGGAGUCUCUGCCAACUAAUGAAUUGUGUGGUUGUGUUAGUUUUGGGCUAUUAUUUGAUAAGAGAUAAGGGCCAAUGAGAGGUCACAUGGUAUUUUUUUCAUGGUUUUUUAAUUAUAUAAAGGGUUACUUCAGACUUAAAAACUCAUGCCAACUCAGUUUCCCCUUUAGAAAGAGACUUUACAACCACUAAGCCAAUUUUCACAUUCUUGCAGCAGACAAGCUCAAAACACAUAUAUCAGAAAAUUGGUUUGUCAAAUUGUUGUUUAACAACUAGGAAUUGGUUUGUCAAAUUAUUAAAUAAUGAAAUUUGAGAUAAGGGAAGACCACAGUUGGUGACAAUAUACUAUCUGGUGUUACUGUUACUUGGAAAUUGGCAGACAUGGUGGUCCGAGUGUUGUGCCAACAACUUGAUUAAUCAAUAAUCCAGAAAGAAAGAAAAAAUCCACUGCUUUGAAGUAGUUAUGUGAAAUCAGUCACUUCCUCCCAGUAACAUAAGUAGUGCAAGAAGUCCAUCAGUUAUGUAAUCAAAGCAUGAAAAGUUUAAAAUGUUGUGUACACAGCUAAUUAAUAACUGAGUCUCAUAUAGACUUCAUAACUCAAAUUUGGAGUUUUUUAUUGGUAUGCUAAAUUGCUUUGACCAGACAAAUAUAUUGUUAAUAUUGUCAAGCCAACGUUCUGUUUUGUUAUCCUAUGGUCUUACUAUGAAGCACUUAAGGUACUUAAGAUUCAAGGCAAUUAGUAAACAGAUUGGAUAAGUAACUUAAGGCUAAUAGAUGUAGAAAUUUUGGUUUUUCAGAAGAACUUAAAUUAGUUUUUUUCUUCUAUUUUCCAUGGUCACUGAGUUAGCUAGAAUGACAAAUUUUCAAAUUUUACAGCAACUUUCAUUGACCAUCAGCCCAAGUAGCACUCCGAAUCUGAUAAAUACAACUUCAUCGAUGAAUUUCGAAAAUUCCAAGGCGUAUCUAAAUAUUCAGUAGACAUAACUCAAUAGAAAAUUCAAAGAUGCAAAACUCAAUACUAAGUCAUUGUUAUUGGCUAUAUUAUCUGUCAGGACCCAAAAUUCACAAUCGUGACCGGCGCACGAACUAGAACAUCCUAGUUCGGCAAGCCUAUUGACGACACUUGGCAACUAUAAUUUAAACAAUUUUCAAUAUGACUUAAAAUGAUAUCCACUGAAAUUUCGACAGAGCAUCCUCUGUAUUUUGAAUAUUUUCCAAGACUUUAAUCCUGUUUAUGAACCUGUAUUCUCAUCCAGAGUUUCAAAAAGACAUAUUUACAUAUUUGUACAUCUCAAAUAAAACAUUCCUAGACUCCAAAUAGCUGCAGAUACUCUGAUUCAACAUAUACAUAAACAAAAGAGACAUCCAUCAAAGAAGCCUACCAAAAAGAGUGACACGGCUGAACUUUGAGUCUACUAGCAGCUUCCUACUUAGCUGCUUGAAAAUCUGAAAAAAAUAGAAAAUAAAAGAGUAAGUCACAAGGACUUAGUGAGAGACAACAACCACCACCAACUAGAAGGGAAACACACAAGGGCACGAUUAUUUAUUUUUCUCAAAUCUAAUUUUUAACUUACAAGGCUAGUAACGGUAUAAAAAUAUAAUAAAUUCACAAUCAAGUGUACCAUGAAAAUUCAUAAAACUUUGUAAUUUUAUCAAACCAAAUAAGACUAUAUCAAAAUUUCAAUGUCGUCAAGAGGUGAAACCAAAUCCACAACUUUAAAGAAAAUAUAUAAAUCUAUAGAAAAUAUAUAAAUCGAUUAUAAUGAAAAGGAAUCGAGAUAAUCAAAUCCAAAUAGAAUAUAAAAGUCGGACUUAAUGAAAUGGAAUCAAAAUAAUCACUUCAAAGCAAAUAUAAAACCAUUUUCAAUUUCAUAAUACCAAAAUAAUCAACUUUAAAUAAAGUAUAGAAAUCCAACUUCAGUGAAAAUAAUCAAAUGGGUGAAUCGAGAACUAGCUCCAUCUCGUUGAUAGCCCUCUCCUCCUAAUGGUGGCCUUUCCAUGGGGCGGCUCCAUCUAACGGAUAGCUCUUUUCUCUCGACUCAAAACAAAGUGUAAAACAUUUUCAAUUAGAGAGUUUACCUCUCAUUGAUAGCCCCCUCCUCCUAAUGGCGGCCUUUCCAUAGGGGCGGCUCCAUCUAAUGGGGUAACUCUACCUAAUUGAAAUCACAUACUAGGUGCACCUAGGUCGACACCAUUAUAACCGUAAUUUUCAAAACAUCAUUCUUAAACCACAAUGCUAAAACCAUAUAUCACAACAUAACGAAACUUGUUUCAAAAUACGUAUCAUCAAAACUCAAUCGAAGAUCUAUUACUUAAAAUCAUAAGUUAAUUCAAAUCCAAAUCGUAUACAAAUAUAAUCAAACCUUUGAAAAACGCAUAUUUCAACACCACGUUUCACAACAUAUCAAAACAAAUACGAAAAUACAUAAAAUCCAAUCCUCCGUUUCAAUUUCUUUACUUUAUAAAUCACAAGUAAAAUCCAAAUCCAAAUGAAGCGCAUAUUAACAUUGAAUAUUCUCAAGAACAUGUAUCUCAAAACCGUAUUUCUCCAUAUCUCAAAACCCAUGUCAUAGUAUAUGCAACCAAACAUCUAUUUUCAAAUCAUUUGCUCAAUAAGUCAUAGAUAAAUCCAAAUAGAGACCAUAAUAAUAUCGAUGACUUUAAACAUAAGUAUCAAUGAGAAGAAAAAUGUUCAAAGGGCGUGUUCCCCAUUUUUUAUAAACACUUUAACAUAGAAAAUUAUCAAAAUAUCAAUAAUAUUAAUAGUGAAAAUAUGUGAUAAUGAUCGUUAUCAACUCACAACUAUGAAGAAACAAAUCCAUUCCUAGCAAUGUUGUCUGAAAUGACCACCGAAAGCAGUUUCCACCGAAUCUGAACAUCAAACAAUACUUUCAGCUCUUGUGAAAACUUAUUUAAGAUCACCUAACGAAUAGAUAAAAGGAUUAGACAAAACCCCCAAUUUGUUAGGCAUAGGGUUUGAAAUUGACUCAUGAAAAUCUAAGAUUUUACUAUCUAUACUAGUUACACUACUCAUCCAAGUUAGAUAUUAUCACUAAAUUUCAUUAAUCUUACCUCAAAAAGUCUCAAUGAGCAACUUCUAAGAUGAGCAUUCUUCUCAUUUCUUAAAGCAUUAACCCAAUUUCCCAAAAUUAUACCCAAAAGCACUUGUGGAUUAUAGAAAAGCUUUGAUUUGGAAUGAAUACUUUUUCUCUACAAAUCAUCAUUGAGUUAUGUUUUUUUGUUCGAUGAUUGAAAGGAGAAGAGAGGAAAAAAUUGAAUGAAGGUUCUGGAAGAUGGAAUAGUGGGAAAUAAAAGUCACGUGAGGUUCUUUUAUAACACUCUUUUUUUAUUUUUUAUUUAUUUUUUUGGUUUAAAAUGAAACGGUGCGUUUCAUUAUCUUUCGCAUCAGUCGUCGGAAAAUGCUCUUGCUCUUCCCUUGCUGGCAAUCGUGUGUUUCAUUAGUACUUUGAAAUUUAUCAGAACACAAACUUUGUUUUUCUUAUAGCAAGCAUAUUCUGUAAAUAAAGAACACAUGGGAGCUUCUUGAGUAGUUAAAUUCAUUGUAAUCAAACAAAACACACAUAAUUGUCAUAUAGUAAUUUGUUUUCUCAUUUCAUUGGAAAAGGGAUCUUUACAAUUCGAUAUGGUUCCUAAUUUAAAAAAUGUCUCAACUAAUCUAUAUGUCAGUUUCCUACAAUCUUACAUUCAUGUAAUAUUUCAUAGCUCAUUCAAGCGAGAAGUUAUAUGUUGAAAGGCAUCUUCAGUGCAAGGAAUUGUGAGGCCACCCAUUGGAUGAUCAUAUCCAAACUCUUCUUCGGCUUGACUCAGCAAAUCUUGAAACAAUGUUUGGUUCAAGUAUGAUACGGGGAUCACAAUUCUCUUUUGUUUAUCUCCAACGUACACUGCAAGAUAGCCCUUUGGCACGUCCACAACUUUUGUAACUGAUCGGCUUGAAGUAAACGAUGAUGACCUUCUAAUGAUACCAGGUAAACGAAAACCCAUUGCUGAGUGUGUUAAAACUUGAGAAGAAUUUUUAAAAAAAGAACAAAAAAACUUUUAAGCAAUAACCAAGUUUUUGAAAUUUGAAUGCUUUAGGAUGUGAAUGAUUAGUUGGUAUUGCAACCAUGAAUAUAUAUAGAUAAAAGAAUAUUGCAAAACUAUUGGCUACUUGAAUGAUUGGUGAAGGAGAGUUAGACUAUACCACUAUGGUAUAGUAUUAAUUAGGGUUAGGUCAUAGUUUCUACAGGGAGACAAGGGCAUGUACAAUAUCACAUGGGAUUGUCUACAGGUUUUAUCCAAAGAUCAAAUGUCAUAAUAGAUAGUACAAGUCCC